GAUGAAGAACGUAGCGAAAUGCGAUACGUAAUGUGAAUUGCAAAUUCAGUGAAUCAUCGAGUCUUUGAACGCACAUUGCACCCCCUGGUAUUCCGGGGGGCAUGCCUGUCCGAGCGUCAUUGCUGCCCUCAAGCACGGCUUGUGUGUUGGGCCCCGUCCUCCGAUCCCGGGGGACGGGCCCGAAAGGCAGCGGCGGCACCGCGUCCGGUCCUCGAGCGUAUGGGGCUUUGUCACCCGCUCUGUAGGCCCGGCCGGCGCUUGCCGAUCAACCCAAAGUUUUAUCCAGGUUGACCUCGGAUCAGGUAGGGAUACCCGCUGAACUUAAGCAUAUCAAUAAGCGGAGGA
rnacentral:misc_RNA from 1 species